GACGAACGCUGGCGGCGUGCUUAACACAUGCAAGUCGAACGAAGUGGCGAACGGGUGAGUAACGCGUAAUCAACCUGCCCUUCAGAGGGGGACAACAGUUGGAAACGACUGCUAAUACCGCAUACUGAAGUCGGGGAUUCCGUCUGAUUAUCUAGUUGGAGGGGUAACGGCCCACCAAGGCGAUGAUCAUUAGCCGGUCUGAGAGGAUGAACGGCUACAUUGGGACUGAGACCCGGCCCAGACUCCUACGGGAGGCAGCAGUGGGGAAUCUUCCGCAAGGGACGAAAGUCUGACGGAGCAACGCCGCGUGAGGGAGGACGGCCUGCGGGUUGUAAAGCUCUGUUAAUCGGGACGCGGUACCGGAAUAGAAAGCCACGGCUAACUACGUGCCAGCAGCCGCGGUAAUUC
rnacentral:rRNA from 1 species